rnacentral:rRNA from 1 species
UCCAGACUCCUACGGGAGGCAGCAGUGGGGAAUAUUGCACAAUGGGGGAAACCCUGAUGCAGCGACGCCGCGUGAGUGAAGAAGUAUUUCGGUAUGUAAAGCUCUAUCAGCAGGGAAGAAAAUGACGGUACCUGAUUAAGAAGCCCCGGCUAACUACGUGCCAGCAGCCGCGGUAAUACGUAGGGGGCAAGCGUUAUCCGGAUUUACUGGGUGUAAAGGGAGCGUAGACGGUGAUGCAAGUCAGAAGUGAAAGCCCGGGGCUCAACUCCGGGACUGCUUUUGAAACUGUGUGACUGGAGUGCAGGAGAGGUAAGCGGAAUUCCUGGUGUAGCGGUGAAAUGCGUAGAUAUUAGGAGGAACACCAGUGGCGAAGGCGGCCUGCUGGACGAUGACUGACGUUGAGGCUCGAAAGCGUGGGGAGCAAACAGGAUUAGAUACCCCCGUA